GUAUUGUCUCACAGCAAUGGAAAGCUAACACACCCUACCUUGGGAGAAUUUGCACUUGCUGAGAUAUAUUCCCUCCAGAAUUCUAUGAUUCUUUGCAUUCAGUCUUUCUUUCACGUUAAUGGUGCUCUUCCUCGAUAUAAUGGAGCAAUGAAAUGAGAAGCUUUGCUCUGCCCCAUGCUCCCAUCAUGAUGUGCUGCCUCACCAUAGGCCCCAAAGUAAUGGAGCCAGCUUACUAUUGACUGAGACCUCCAAAACCUCAAGCAGAUAAAAACCUUCUCUUAAAAUAAACCUAAGUAUCUACCAACUGAUGAAGAGAUAAAGAAAAUGUGCUACAUAUAUACACAAGAGAAUGCUAUUCAGUCAUUUGAAAAGAUUAAAGUUCAUCAUUCACUAUAACAUAGAAUGAGAUCACUAUACUACAUGAAGUAGGCCAG
rnacentral:lncRNA from 1 species